AGUGAACGCUGGCGGUAGGCCUAACACAUGCAAGUCGAACGGCAGCACAGUAAGAGCUUGCUCUUACGGGUGGCGAGUGGCGGACGGGUGAGGAAUACAUCGGAAUCUACUUUUUCGUGGGGGAUAACGUAGGGAAACUUACGCUAAUACCGCAUACGACCUACGGGUGAAAGCAGGGGAUCUUCGGACCUUGCGCGAUUGAAUGAGCUGAUGUCGGAUUAGCUAGUUGGCGGGGUAAAGGCCCACCAAGGCGACGAUCCGUAGCUGGUCUGAGAGGAUGAUCAGCCACACUGGAACUGAGACACGGUCCAGACUCCUACGGGAGGCAGCAGUGGGGAAUAUUGGACAAAGGGCGAAAGCCUGAUGCAGCCAUACCGCGUGGGUGAAGAAGGCCUUCGGGUUGUAAAGCCCUUUUAUUGGGAAAGAAAAGCAGCAGGUUAAUACCCCGCUGUUCUGACGGUACCCAAAGAAUAAGCACCGGCUAACUUCGUG
rnacentral:rRNA from 1 species